rnacentral:rRNA from 1 species
AUGGCAGCCACCCGCAAGACCCGAUCCCCGUCCGCCGCCGCCGCGGCCGGCGACCACCUCCGCUUCCUCCGCCCCGGCGCCCUCGCCCGUCUCCGCGACGCCAGGCUCCGCCGCCGCUCGAAGCCCGCCUACUCCCGCCCGGCCCCGGCCUCGCCGCAGCCGUCCCCCUCUCCCCCUCCCGCUCCCGCGCCCGCGGCGGGCGGGGACGGCGAGAGCGGGCCCUUCGUGCCCUACUUCGUGCCCGGGUCGAGGCUCCUCGCCCCGCGGUUCCCGCAGCGGAAGAAGCUCACGGCGGGGAAGGUGGUGGCGCUCUUCUCGCCGCCGAUGCCCAGCCCGGACCUGCCAUUCGAGGCGGUUAUGGAGUUCUUCAACGCGCCGGAUAUGGUCGUCGCCGCCCACUAG